UACGGAAGGCAGCAGGGGGAAUAUUGCACAAUGGGCGAAAGCCUGAUGCAGCUAUGCCGCGUGUAUGAAGAAGGCCUUAGGGUUGUAAAGUACUUUCAUCGGGGAGGAAAAACAAAACUAAUAAUUUUAUUUCUUGACGUUACCCGAAAAAGAAGCACCGGCUAACUCCGUGCCAGCAGCCGCGGUAAUACGGAGGGUGCUAGCGUUAAUCAGAAUUACUGGGCGUAAAGAGCACGUAGGUGGUUUUUUUAAAGUCAGAUGUGAAAUCCCUGGGCUUAACCUAGGAACUGCAUUUUGAAACUGAAAUACUAGAGUAUCGUAGAGGGAGGUAGAAUUCUAGGUGUAGCGGUGAAAUGCGUAGAUAUCUGGAGGAAUACCUGUGGCGAAAGCGGCCUCCUAAACGAAUACUGACACUGAGGUGCGAAAGCGUGGGGAGCAAACAGGGAUUAGAUACC
rnacentral:rRNA from 1 species